rnacentral:rRNA from 1 species
UAAUUUUUGUAAAAUUAAAUAUUGUUUUUUUUGGUUUUUAGUCUUUAGGGUAAAAUCAGAAGACUUAAUUAUUUAUUGUUUAAUUUAUAAAGUUUGAAAAACGACCCAGAUUAGUACCUGGUUAGACAAAAUUUAAAAAAGCAGGAGUAAAGUUAUAUUUAAACUGUAAGGAUAUUGGCAGGCUUUUUAAAUUAUCUUUGGAGGUUGAGUAGUAAUUGAGAACCCUCAUUUUCAUCUUCUAUUUUAGGCGCAUGUAUGAUCGUUUAUUUUAUUCUUAGGGAUUGUAAUUAAAAAUUUUUAUUUAUAAAAACAGAUAAAUACCUGGUUUAUAUAGGAGUUUAAAUUUGACCUACAAUAUUAUAAAAUUUGGAUUUUAGGUUGAGAGAUCUAAAUGAAAUUGUAAAAGACAGUAAACUAUUUUUAAUAUAUAGUUGAAGUUUAUUUAAUGGCGGUACAAAUCAU